rnacentral:tRNA from 1 species
GGGUGUUUAGCUCAGCUGGGAGAGCAUCUGCUUGACGUGCAGAAGGUCAUAGGUUCGAUCCCUAUAGCACCCA